rnacentral:lncRNA from 1 species
GCUCUAGGCGAAGACCGCGGCCCCGUCCCCGCGCCUCCACCGCCUUCUUCCAGGAGGAGGGGCCGUGCGGCGCCUGCCCGGGGGCCCUCAGGCCGCAGGCGGGCGCGAGCUUCAGGGAACUUAGGGGGCUCCCGCCUCCCCGGCCACGCGAGCGGGAACAGUCUCCUCCACUCGGAGCGCCACUCAUCAUGCCUUACCUGGAUGAUGCAGAAGUCCCUGGAAACAGAAGGUCUCACCCUUCUUUAUCUUUCUCAUGGCUUUCCAAGGCUCUUUAUCAUGUUACUUUCCUGCUCAGAAUUCUUUAAUGACUUGCCUCAAUGACCAGAUACAUGUGAUCUACAGUCAGCCUUCCAGCCUCAUCAUUCCUCUUCCAUUU